GGAGAGUUGCCGGAGCGGUCGAACGGGGCAGUCUUGAAAACUGCUGGGCCUUUACAGGUCCCGGGGGUUCGAAUCCCUCACUCUCCGCCA
rnacentral:tRNA from 1 species